rnacentral:rRNA from 1 species
UAAUGCCGGAUGCUCCAGUUGAUCGCAUGGUCUUCUGGGAAAGCUUUCGCGGUAUGGGAUGGGGUCGCGUCCUAUCAGCUUGACGGCGGGGUAACGGCCCACCGUGGCUUCGACGGGUAGCCGGCCUGAGAGGGCGACCGGCCACAUUGGGACUGAGAUACGGCCCAGACUCCUACGGGAGGCAGCAGUGGGGAAUAUUGCACAAUGGGCGCAAGCCUGAUGCAGCGACGCCGCGUGAGGGAUGGAGGCCUUCGGGUUGUAAACCUCUUUUAUCGGGGAGCAAGCGAGAGUGAGUUUACCCGUUGAAUAAGCACCGGCUAACUACGUGCCAGCAGCCGCGGUAAUACGUAGGGUGCAAGCGUUAUCCGGAAUUAUUGGGCGUAAAGGGCUCGUAGGCGGUUCGUCGCGUCCGGUGUGAAAGUCCAUCGCUUAACGGUGGAUCCGCGCCGGGUACGGGCGGGCUUGAGUGCGGUAGGGGAGACUGGAAUUCCCGGUGUAACGGUGGAAUGUGUAGAUAUCGAGAAGAGAA